UGGGGAAUAUUGCACAAUGGAGGAAACUCUGAUGCAGCGACGCCGCGUGAAUGAUGAAGGCCUUCGGGUUGUAAAGUUCUGUCCUUGGGGAAGAUAAUGACGGUACCCAAGGAGGAAGCCCCGGCUAACUACGUGCCAGCAGCCGCGGUAAUACGUAGGGGGCGAGCGUUGUCCGGAAUUAUUGGGCGUAAAGGGUUCGCAGGCGGUCUGAUAAGUCAGAUGUGAAAGGCGUAGGCUUAACCUAUGUAAGCAUUUGAAACUGUCAGACUUGAGUUAAGGAGAGGAAAGUGGAAUUCCUAGUGUAGCGGUGAAAUGCGUAGAUAUUAGGAGGAAUACCAGUGGCGAAGGCGACUUUCUGGACUUAUACUGACGCUGAGGAACGAAAGCGUGGGGAGCAAACAG
rnacentral:rRNA from 1 species